rnacentral:lncRNA from 1 species
CUCACCUGUCCAUGUCUCACCUGUCCAUGUCUCACCUGUCCAUCUCACCUGUCCAUGUCUCACCUGUCCAUCUCACCUGUCCAUCUCACCUGUCCAUCUCACCUGUCCCAUCUCACCUGUCCAUGUCUCACCUGUCCAUGUCUCACCUGUCUCACCUGUCCCUCACCUGUCCCAUCUCACCUGUCCAUGUCUCACCUGUCCCUCACCUGUCCAUCUCACCUGUCCAUCUCACCUGUCCAUCUCACCUGUCCCAUCUCACCUGUCCAUGUCCCACCUGUCCAUGUCUCACCUGUCCAUGUCCCACCUGUCCAUCUCACCUGUCCCAUCUCACCUGUCCAUGUCUCACCUGUCCAUGUCUCACCUGUCCAUCUCACCUGUCCAUCUCACCUGUCCAUCUCACCUGUCCAUCUCACCUGUCCCUCACCUGUCCCCAGGUGAUUUUCCGGCUCACUCUGGACGUGCCGUCGGACGCUGAACUCGGCGACAGCCUGGAGGUGACAGCCCAGGCCACCAGGUGAGAUGGACAGGUGAUCCCAGGUGAUCCCAGGUGUGCCCAGGUGUGCCCAGGUGUGCCCAGGUGUGCCCAGGUGAGCUGACCUGUCCCCCCCCGCAGUGACAACGGCGGCCCCGCUGGGCGGAGCCAGAGCGUCGCCAUCGCCGUCAGGUACCAGGUGUUCCUGGUGCUGGCCAGGUGAGCUGGGGGGUCACCUGGGGGGUCACCUGUGUCACACCUGUGUGUCACCUGUGUGUGUCACACCUGUGUGUGUCACCUGUGUCACACCUGUGUGUCACCUGUGUGCGUCACACCUGUGUGUGUCACCUGUGUCACACCUGUGUGUCACCUGUGUCACACCUGUGUGAUGUCACCUGUCUCACCUGUUACCUGUCUGUCUCACCUGUCCCAUCUCACCUGUGUCACCUGUGUGGCCUCACCUGUGUCACCUGUCCAUGUCUCACCUGUCCCACCUCACCUGUGUCCCACCUGUCCAUGUCUCACCUGUCCCACCUGUCCCAUCCCACCUGUCCAUGUUUUACCUGUGUGACCUCACCUGUCCCACCUGUCCAUGUCCCACCUGUGUCUCACCUGUCCCACCUGUCUGUGUCCCACCUGUCCCACCUCACCUGUCCCACCUGUCCAUGUCCCACCUGUGUCUCACCUGUCCCACCUGUCUGUGUCCCACCUGUCCCACCUCACCUGUGUCCCACCUGUCCAUGUCCCACCUGUGUCUCACCUGUCCCACCUGUCCGCAGCUCCCCCGACUCCACGCGUUACCUGAACGUCACCAAGGGCGGGGCCCUUCCCCCCUCUGCCCCCGUCACCCACCACUACCAGGUGAAGGUCCUGGGCCAGCGCGGCGUCGCCGCCAACGUUUCCUUCCUGGUCCCGUCUCACCUGGGCCCGGAGCCGCUCUGGGAGCACCUGGAGCUCACACCUGAGCAGGUACCGGCCCCGCCCCCAAAAUCCCCAAAAAUUACCCCAAAAACGGCCCAAAAAUCCCCAAAAAUCCCCCCAAAAAUCCCCCCAAAAUUACGCCAAAAAUGACCCAAAAAUCCCCUAAAUACAGCCACAAGAACAGCCCCAAAAUCCCCAAAAAUUACCCCAAAACCGGCCCAAAAAUCCCCAAAAAUCCCCCCAAAAAUCCCCCAAAAAUCCCCAAAAUACAGCCACAAAAAUGGCCCAAAAAUCCCCAAAAAUGGCCACAAAAACAGCCCAAAAAUCCCCAAAAAUUACCCCAAAAAUGGCCCCAAGUCCCCCAAAAUUACCCCAAAACCAGCCCAAAAAUCCCCAAAAAUUACCCCAAAAAUGGCCCCAAAUCCCCCAAAAUUACCCCAAAAACGGCCCAAAAAUCCCCAAAAAUUACCCCCAAAAAGGCCCAAAAUUCCCCCAAAUUCCCCCCAAAAUACCCCAAAAAUGGUCCCAAAAUCCCGUAGAAUUACCCCUAAAACGCCUCAAAAUUACCCCAAAAGUUCCCCAAAAAUGUCCCAAAAAUUCCUAAAAUUCCCAAAAUGGCCCAAAUCCCCCUAAAAUUCCCCCAAAAUUGUCCCCAAAAAUCCCUAAAAAUGGCCACAAAAACGGCCCCAAAAUCCUCAAGAACGGCCCCAAAACCUCCCAAAAAAUGUCCGGAAAAUGCCCCAAAAAUUCCCGAAAUGCCCCAAAAUGGCGGAAAA